UAGGGAAUCUUCGGCAAUGGGGGGAACCCUGACCGAGCAACGCCGCGUGAGUGAAGAAGGUUUUCGGAUCGUAAAGCUCUGUUGUUAAGGAAGAACGAGUGUGAGAAUGGAAAGUUCAUACUGUGACGGUACUUAACCAGAAAGGGACGGCUAACUACGUGCCAGCAGCCGCGGUAAUACGUAGGUCCCGAGCGUUGUCCGGAUUUAUUGGGCGUAAAGCGAGCGCAGGCGGUUAGAUAAGUCUGAAGUUAAAGGCAGUGGCUCAACCAUUGUAGGCUUUGGAAACUGUUUAACUUGAGUGCAGAAGGGGAGAGUGGAAUUCCAUGUGUAGCGGUGAAAUGCGUAGAUAUAUGGAGGAACACCGGUAGCGAAAGCGGCUCUCUGGUCUGUAACUGACGCUGAGGCUCGAAAGCGUGGGGAGCGAACAGG
rnacentral:rRNA from 1 species